rnacentral:sRNA from 1 species
AGGAGACGGGGUUUCACCAUGUUGCCCAGGUGGGUCUUGAACCCGUGGCCUCAAGUGAUCCACCCACCUCAGCCCCCCAAAGUCCUGGGAUUACAGGCGUGGGCCACCGUACCCAGCUGGAUGGCAUCUGCAUUUUAAACAAGGCCCCUGGUGACUCCAGCCUCAGGUUGUUUAGUUUUUUCAAAUGCUGCAGCGGGCGCAGAGGGGCGGGAGGCGCCAGCACAGGGACUCCUGCUUUGCAGCCGUGCAGUGGGACUCUGGAAGCCACGCCAUAUUAUCCGGGAGGGUCCGGCGCCAUUGCCUCUUGUUCUGUGACACUCUUGGGUGUAAAAUUGAUAAGGACGUAUUUCUAACAGCCACCGUGGUU